AGAUUUAGGAAAAAUAGGAUUUCUUAUUGUCCGGAAGUAGGGUUGGGUCUUUU
rnacentral:tRNA from 1 species